AGCUUUUCAACCGAGCUUAGUGCUGAACAUUUUUUUCAUAUUCCAUCGGCUCACAUAUUCCGUGAAGGAAUUCUAUUAUGCUGGAAUUUGAGGAUGAAAGUAUUUUUAGGAGAGUUUGUUAUGUUGUGGAGCAUUAUCCUGUCGUAAUUUGCUCCAUAUCCUCAACUGAAUGUUCUUCCCCUCUACAUUUUAGUGCCGAAGAAAGCUUUUGACACAGCAAUGUGAUUUGGAGGAAAACGGUCAAUCUGUAUCAUCUCCAUUUGCAGAAAGAAUUAUUAUCAAGCCGCCUGCAACCCCCAGCACCAGCAUCCUCAUCAAACCACGGCUACCGCUGCAGACUCCACUUCAGUGGUCAGCUCAGAGGUCUGCUCAGCUUCAGAGGUCUGCUCUGCUUCAGAGGUCACUGGAGCAGAUUCUCCAUCUUCCGCAGCCGGCACCAAUGGGGAACAAUGGGGAAACAAUGGGGACUGGAUGGAGGUGCUGAACGAAUCGAUGUGCCAACAAUUGAAAAGGGGGCAAUUGAAAGGUAAUCAAAUUACCAAAGUGACAGAGGAUCUCCUCCAGAUGAUGAUUUGGAAAAAAAAUUAACAAAGUUUUGGUGGAAAGCAAAAACUGUUUGAUGGUUAGCAGAUUUCUUAGGUAAUUAUAAAGAGGCAGUCGAACAUACACUGGCGGAUCUGUGGCUGUCCUUGCUUGAUCAACUACACUGGCUCACAGCCC
rnacentral:lncRNA from 1 species